rnacentral:lncRNA from 1 species
UAUUUGAUUAAGUUUGUAAAAUAAAAUACUUUCUUUUUUUAGAAAUAAUCCAGCAGUUUCCAGAUUAUGAAUGAAUUUCACCAUGUUAAUGAACUUUUACAAGCAGUUAGGAUGAGGUGUUUUUCAGAAGAAGAAAGGAGUUCCUAGAAUAUGUAUUCUAAAAGUUCCAAAUCUGUUUAUUGUAAUAGAUUACUUGAAAUAAUGAAGAAAAUUAUUACAACUGUUUUUCCACAAAAUAUAGAAGAUGUCCUUCAUUCACUGACAAUGUAAUUGAGUUCUAAUAACCAGGAACAGAAACCUCAAGUAUUACCAAAAGGUUCAUUUGGUUCUUUUGUUGAUUCAUUGGAAAAGGCUGAAUCUUAGCGCCACAAAAAAAAAUACUUUCAUUCUAGACACAGACCAUGUUGUAUAAUCAAGUUUCUCAGAUGCUUCCAGACAUAACUGAGAAUAAAUCUUAUGUGACAUCUAGCUGCAAAAUAAAACUGAUUUCAAGUUUUCUGUUGAUCUCUUUUGUUAAUGCCAAUUAUUUUGUCAUAGUCGCAUCUCAAG